AUUGAACGCUGGCGGCAUGCCUUACACAUGCAAGUCGAACGGCAGCGCGGGAGCAAUCCUGGCGGCGAGUGGCGAACGGGUGAGUAAUAUAUCGGAACGUGCCCAUUAGUGGGGGAUAGCCCGGCGAAAGCCGGAUUAAUACCGCAUACGACCUGAGGGUGAAAGCGGGGGAUCGCAAGACCUCGCGCUAUUGGAGCGGCCGAUAUCGGAUUAGCUAGUUGGUGGGGUAAAGGCCUACCAAGGCAACGAUCUGUAGUUGGUCUGAGAGGACGACCAGCCACACUGGGACUGGGACACAGCCGUGACUCCUACGGGAGGGAGGAGUGGGGAAUUUUGGACAAGGGGCGCAAGCCUGAUCCAGCAAUGCCGCGUGCAGGAAGAAGGCCUUCGGGUUGUAAACUGCUUUUGUCAGGGAAGAAAUCCUUUGGGCUAAUACCUCGGAGGGACGACGGUACCUGAAGAAUAAGCACCGGCUAACUACGUGCCAGCCGCCGCGGUAA
rnacentral:rRNA from 1 species